CAACUAAAUUGAGAGUUGAAUAAUAGUUGUUAAAAACUAUGAAAAAAAUUGAACUUAAAGAAAACGUUCUAAACUAAAGAUGGCAUCCUCUCCUUCUAAGAACUAAAUAACCACUUCAUACAAUGUUUUCCAAGGCAAAAUCACGAGCCAAUGUGACCACCCUGCCCUUGUUUCAAAGAAGCAAAAUUCAAAUGCAGAAUUGGAGGCCGAGUUGCGAUGCCAAUAAAUCCAAGUCGCAGCUUGGAAAGACAAUAUGAAUUUCGUUGAUAUAUAAAAGGAAGAGUAAGUUGUUUAAUGAAGAGUAAUCUAUUUUGUUACUUACAAAAGGAAUAUAACCCACAAUUCCAUAAAUCCAAAACGAUCAUUUUGUUAUUCUUCUAUUUCCAGCUUUUUUUCUGAUGAAUCUUCAAUUUCUCUCUUGAUGGCGAUUCCUGAAAAAAACCCUAAAUUCCUAGAAGCCUAAAGUGCAGAGUUCAUUCUCUUGUAGGAUCCACACCCAGAAAUUAUCCGCUGUGAUUUGAAAAUUAUAUGAUUUUGUAAACCUCACAAGUAUACAAGUGUUCUUAUGCAAAACUAGAUUAAUUGGACCUUUUUUUUAAUUAUAGUUUCCUUUUGUUUGGGGUUAUGGGUGUUCUUGUCAUGAAUACUACUGAAGAACACAGUUCAUGAAUAAUCUUGCAGAAGCCUUCUUCGCUUUCCUCUCUACAA